GGCUUCUCCGCAUCUGGAUUUUCACUACUAUAGAUCAAAUUCGAGGUGCCAAAUCUUAACAAUCUUUACUUCGACUCGAUAUUCGGCCUUCACCUAACUUGAGAGCUUGUGGAUGAUCUCGCUCCCAUGCCCUGAGGUGAACGACUGCUACUCAUGGAUGGACAAAUAUGAGAGUUGAGUUAGGCCGCUCGAUCCCAUCUCCAACCCUAUAUGACCUGAGACUUGCUCG
rnacentral:lncRNA from 1 species